rnacentral:rRNA from 1 species
AGAAUCAACGCUGGCGGCGUGCCUCAGACAUGCAAGUCGAACGAUUAAACUUUCCUUCGGGAAAGAUAUAAAGUGGCGCACGGGUGAGUAACACGUAAGUAAUCUACCUUUGAGUGGGGAAUAACCCGGGGAAACCCGAGCUAAUACCGCAUAAUGCAGCGGCAUCGCAAGAUGACAGUUGUUAAAGGAGCAAUCCGCUUAAAGAGGAGCUUGCGGCAGAUUAGCUAGUUGGUAAGGUAAUGGCUUACCAAGGCUACGAUCUGUAACCGGUCUAAGAGGACGGUCGGUCACACUGACACUGAAUAACGGGUCAGACUCCUACGGGAGGCAGCAGUCGGGAAUUUGGGCAAUGGGCGAAAGCCUGACCCAGCAACGCCGCGUGAAGGAUGAAGUAUUUCGGUAUGUAAACUUCGAAAGAAUAGGAAGAAUAAAUGACGGUACUAUUUAUAAGGUCCGGCUAAACUACGUGUCAGCAGCCGC